rnacentral:rRNA from 1 species
AUUGAACGCUGGCGGCAGGCCUAACACAUGCAAGUCGAACGGUAACAGGAAGCAGCUUGCUGCUUUGCUGACGAGUGGCGGACGGGUGAGUAAUGUCUGGGAAACUGCCCGAUGGAGGGGGAUAACUACUGGAAACGGUAGCUAAUACCGCAUAACGUCGCAAGACCAAAGAGGGGGACCUUAGGGCCUCUUGCCAUCGGAUGUGCCCAGAUGGGAUUAGCUAGUAGGUGGGGUAACGGCUCACCUAGGCGACGAUCCCUAGCUGGUCUGAGAGGAUGACCAGCCACACUGGAACUGAGACACGGUCCAGACUCCUACGGGAGGCAGCAGUGGGGAAUAUUGCACAAUGGGCGCAAGCCUGAUGCAGGCAUGCCGCGUGUAUGAAGAAGGCCUUCGGGUUGUAAAGGACUUUCAGCGGGGAGGAAGGGAGUAAAGUUAAUACCUUUGCUCAUUGACGUUACCCGCAGAAGAAGCACCGGCUAACUCCGUG